rnacentral:rRNA from 1 species
ACUCCUACGGGAGGCAGCAGUGGGGAAUAUUGGACAAUGGGCGCAAGCCUGAUCCAGCAAUGCCGCGUGUGUGAAGAAGGCCUGCGGGUUGUAAAGCACUUUCAGUGGGGAAGAACGCCUUGUGGUUAAUACCCACGAGGGUUGACCUUACCCACAGAAGAAGCACCGGCUAACUCCGUGCCAGCAGCCGCGGUAAU